rnacentral:rRNA from 1 species
GACGAACGCUGGCGGCGUGCUUAACACAUGCAAGUCGAACGAGGAAACCUAGCUUGUUAGGUCGAUUAGUGGCGAACGGGUGAGUAACACGUGACUAACCUGCCCCUUUCUCUGGGAUAACGCUCCGAAAGGAGGGCUAAUACCGGAUACUCACACCGAGGACCAUGCCUUGGUAUGGAAAGGUUUUCGGAAAGGGAUGGAGUCGCGGCCUAUCAGCGUGUUGGUGAGGUAACGGCUCACCAAUGCGACGACGGGUAGCCGGCCUGAGAGGGCGACCGGCCACACUGGGACUGAGACACGGCCCAGACUCCUACGGGAGGCAGCAGUGGGGAAUAUUGCACAAUGGGCGCAAGCCUGAUGCAGCGACGCCGCGUGAGGGAUGAAGGUCUUCGGAUUGUAAACCUCUUUCAGUAGGGACGAAGCGAAAGUGACGGUACCUAAAGAAGAAGCACCGGCUAACUACGUGCCAGCAGCCGCCGUAA